rnacentral:rRNA from 1 species
AGUGAACGCUGGCGGUAGGCCUAACACAUGCAAGUCGAACGGCAGCACAGUAAGAGCUUGCUCUUACGGGUGGCGAGUGGCGGACGGGUGAGGAAUACAUCGGAAUCUACUUUUUCGUGGGGGAUAACGUAGGGAAACUUACGCUAAUACCGCAUACGACCUACAGGUGAAAGCAGGGGAUCUUCGGACCUUGCGCGAUUGAAUGAGCCGAUGUCGGAUUAGCUAGUUGGCGGGGUAAAGGCCCACCAAGGCGACGAUCCGUAGCUGGUCUGAGAGGAUGAUCAGCCACACUGGAACUGAGACACGGUCCAGACUCCUACGGGAGGCAGCAGUGGGGAAUAUUGGACAAUGGGCGCAAGCCUGAUCCAGCCAUACCGCGUGGGUGAAGAAGGCCUUCGGGUUGUAAAGCCCUUCUGUUGGGAAAGAAAAGCAGCAGGUUAAUACCCCGCUGUUCUGACGGUACCCAAAGAAUAAGCACCGGCUAACUUCGUG